rnacentral:rRNA from 1 species
GAUCAUGGCUCAGGAUGAACGCUAGCUACAGGCUUAACACAUGCAAGUCGAGGGGCAGCAUUUCAGUUUGCUUGCAAACUGGAGAUGGUGACCGGCGCACGGGUGAGUAACACGUAUCCAACCUGCCGAUAACUCGGGGAUAGCCUUUCGAAAGAAAGAUUAAUACCCGAUGGUAUAAUUAGGCCGCAUGGUCUUAUUAUUAAAGAAUUUCGGUUAUCGAUGGGGAUGCGUUCCAUUAGG